rnacentral:lncRNA from 1 species
UUAUAACAGCACCGCCCACAGUGAAAUUUGGGCCCAAACCUUAACUGGGCCUAUUCCUUAUUGGGCCUGGUAGGUUCUGGGCCCGGACAUUACAUCCUACCCCCCUUAAAAUAAAUUUCGUCCUCGAAAUUAGUCAUACCUUAAGGUUCAGGCUUUAAAAGUAUUCAACCAUCGAGUCACCUUCUAGUUCUCGGUUAGUCUCCCUCUUAAAAUGCUUGCUGAUAAGAUUUUGGCAAAAUCAUGGCACCUCAAAACUUGAUCCCUUCUAUUUAUGAUAUAGGAGUUCUUUUGAUCUCUUCCAAAAGAAGACUAAUCUUCCCACCUUAGAUGCUAUAAUCCUUGGCCCGAGAAAUUAAUUGCUUUCGAUUAAGUCCACACAAAGAUCGUAAUCGGCUUAACAGAAAUAGGUGAGAGCAUUAGCAUCAAAUACUUUUCAUAAUCUAUAAUCUUCUUUCUUCUCUUAACCCUGCCUACAAUUUUAUGAUCAACUUUUAUCCUAGCAAAACUUCAAACCCCUUUUAGAUAGGUAGAUCGAAGAUGUCAUAGCUAGGAGUAGGGAACAUUUCAGGUCUAAGCCCAACCAAGGCACCAUC